rnacentral:SRP_RNA from 1 species
UCGUGCUAGACGGGGAGUUAGCGGUGCCCUGAACCCGCAAUCCGCUCCAGCGGGGUUGAAUUCCUCCUUUCGGCCCGUCCAAUCGAAUGCCGGGAACGCCGUGAGGCACUGAUGGCCAGGUCCCGCGCGACAGGUUUCUGUGAACCCCGUCAGGACCGGAAGGUAGCAGCGGUAAGCAGCAAUUCCUGUGCGCCGCGGGUAUGCUUGGUCGGAGUCUCGAUAGCGGUCUACGAUUCGCGCGGUCGGGACAACGGGAGGUGCACGG